rnacentral:rRNA from 1 species
UUGCAGUCGAGCGGUAACAGUUGUAAGCUUGCUUCUUUGCAGAGAGCGGGGGAGGGGAGAGAAACUCGUGGACAUGCCCUUGGGAGGGGGGGCCACUUGUGAAAAACAGCGCAAAUACCACAAAAUCCCCCUUGCAAACAGGGGUUAAUCUUCGGGCCUAAGAGUGGCCCUUGCGCCAUUAGCUGAUUAGCUAGGUGAUGAGUUAAUGGCUCACCAAGGCCUCGAUCUCUAGCGAGUCUGAGAGGAUCACCAGCCACACUGGGACUGAGACACGCCCCACACUCCUACGGGAGGCAGCAGUGGGGAAUAUUGCACAAUGCGGGAAACCCUGAUCCAGCCAUGCCGCGUGUGCCUUGAAGGCCUUCGGGUUGUUCAGCACUUUCAGAAACUAGGAAAGGUAUACCAGCAAUACUCGCUUGCUGUGACGUUAACUGCAGAAGAAGCACCGGUUAACUCCGUGCCAGCAGCCGCGGAAAAUGCGGAGGGUGCAAGCGUUUAUCGGAAUUACUGGGCAUAAAGCGCACGUAGGCGGCUCGAUAAGCCAGAUGUGAGAGCCUCGAGCUCAACUCGGGAUACAGCAUGGUGGAACUGUUUAUCUAGAGUCUUGUAGAGGGUUUGUACUCGUGUAAAAACUNUGACGCUCAUGUGAAAAAGUGGGGGAGAACAAACAAGAUUAUAUCCCCUGUGUAGCCCGCCCUAAAAAGAGAUGUAUACGAGGGGGGGUGUGCCUGACCCGUCGGGUUUCGCGACUCCCCGUUAAAUAUACCCCCCGGGGGGGACCCCCCCAAAAUUAAAAAUCAAAAAAUUUUGGGGGGGCCCCCCCAAAAGGGGGGGCAUUUGUUUUUUUUUGAGGCACAGCGGGAAACCUUUCCCCUCUCUCAUCCCGAGAAACUUUCAGAGACAGAUUUUUCCCUUCUGGGACUCUGAAACAAGGUCCUCCAUGGUGUUUCCCCCCCCUGUUUUGAAAAAUUUGGGUUAAGUCCCCAAAGCGGGCCAACCCUAUUCUUUUGUUGCCACCGAUUAUGUUGGGAACUCUAAGGAGACUGCCGGUGAUAAACCGGAGGAAGGUGGGGACGACGUCAAGUCAUCAUGGCCCUUACGAGUAGGGCUACACACGUGCUACAAUGGCGGUUACAGAGGGCUGCAAACCAGCGAGGGUGAGCGAAUCCCUAAAAGCACGUCGUAGUCCGGAUUGGAGUCUGCAACUCGACUCCAUGAAGUCGGAAUCGCUAGUAAUCGCGGAUCAGAAUGCGCGGUGAAUACGUUACCGGGCCUUGUACACNCCGCCCGUCACCCCAUGGGAGUGGGUUACACCAGAAGCAGUUAGCUUACCAUU